CUGAUGAACGCGCUCACGACGAAAAUCAAGAAGAGCGAAGAGUUUAAAAGAAAGAUUAUUAUAACUGUUGAACCGAUUGCUCACAAUUACAAGCUCAGCGAUCCCAAUGUGACAACAAUGGGGACUUUAUUUGUGAAAAACACACAAUUAAACAAUGUUAUCGGGAUGUCCCAAUGGUGCAGAAUGAUCAAGGACCCUGCGUACAAGUUGGUCAGGAAUGCCGAGACGCAAAAUUACGCCGUCAGGCCGAACAAUUUGAUUACUUAUGACGAUCAGGAGUCAUUAACGGCGAAGAUCAAUUUUGUGAAGGAGUUUGGAGCCGGUGUUGGGUUGCACAGCGUCAAGACUGAUGAUGUUAAUGGAGAUUGCGGCUGCGGCAGAAUGCCUUACCUCACACACGUCGUCAACAUUCUCAAAAUGUGGUGCGAACCUAUUCCUUGUUUUUAAUUCUUCCGCAGUUAACCGUAGGCAUCCUAACUUAUUAUCCCUAUUAUCAAGAAAUAGUAAUUAUAUUUUUGCAUAAUAAUGUUUUGAAAUAAAGAUGAAAAGUUUUUUUUAUGUCCGCAGAUUUACUAUUAUAGCACACUUUGAGGCCUUGGUUGCACUUUAAAAUUUGAUUCAUUCGAUAUUUACUAUGAAGAG